CUGUUUCUUGUAGGAAGUCUUGCAGCUAACUGCUGAAAAAAAAGUGGCAUGUAAAUCUGAUUGAUGAAAAUUGUUGUAUGCCAUCAGAAGGUUGUUUGUUUGUCUGAAUUCUUAAGCUAUAUGCACAUGUUUAGAUGUGCAAAUUCUCGAGAUUAAAGAGUUAGGGUCAGUAGAUAAUAGUAAGAUUAACCCGUCAGGGUAAGCUUCCAAAUGUAACUGAAAAUUAAACUGUUGUAUUAUUUUCUUCGGUUGGUGAGGCAGUUCAAGAUGUGUCCUUGCACGGUUACUUUCACCUACCUAAUUCAACUUCUUCCUCCUUUUCACUUGAAUUUAUUUCACCAUGAUUCAGCUGCUCUCUCUCCAGAUCUGAAUGAAACAGGGCAUCCAGCCAUCUCAAGGGUGUCAAAAUGAACACUGGCGGCCACGGGAGUCCCUCGGGGGCAUCCUAUAAAAUACUAGCUCAGGGAAAAGAUCAAGUUUAUUAGAAGAGAUUCGCUGACGGAGUUUUGUCCAAAAGCUCGGGUUGACGGGGAGAGACGACACUGCUAGUUUGCUGAAGUGGUAGACUGCCAUUCAGAUGCAUUUAUCUACUGAUUGCCCACGUGCAGCCUAGGAACAGGCCGGUGAUGUCUUCGGUUGUCAUGAUGCUGGCCGGUGAGAAUGCCAUGUUGCCGGAGCCAAAUGAGCCCGGUGUAAACCUUGGGAGGAACAUGACAUAUACAUGAUUUUUCUGAAAAUGAAAGCGAGUUCACCAUGACUAUGACAGGUACUAGGUAGUUUAGCUUGGGAUAGAAUACAAUGCACGGGUUACAACAGAAGUUAUUUCUUGUCUCACAAUUACUGAUUGCUCUUUGUUCUCAUUUUCCUUUGUUACCUGAAACUAUUCCUUGUCAACACAUAAGCGGAAGCCGGGUUCGAAGCCACCGACAGUGUCUUCCUUGGAUUCGUUCGUGCAAUAAGGAGGGGACCCAGCCUUCUUCACAUGUCGAGCAACAAGGGUGAUCGAGGAGGAUUACCAUGGCCCAGUGGGUGUCGUGCUCUUCAACCACUUGGAGGUGCACUUCACCGUGAAGCCUGGUGACUACUGCACACAGAUGAUCAUCCAGGUGAUCGCGCCGUCGGAGGCCGCCGAGGUGGAGGUCCUCGACGCCACCGUCCGGGGGGAGGUCCACCGGUGUUUGAACUCCAAGCCUUGGUAGAUACAUCUUCCAUGUGGUUUGUUUAGGUUGGUAGUGGAAUGCUAGGGAAGGUACCCACCUUUUAGGUGAUGGUUGUGUUCGUCUGACGUUAAAUGGGAUGUCGUGAUUUCUUUCAGUUGAGAUGUUGUUCCUUGACAUGAGUUUAUUUUGCACCGGGCAUGUCUAUUUCUA